AGGACCCAAGAGGACGAAUAUGGAACUCUAGAGGAAGACUCAGAAGACGAAUAUGGCAGCCCCGGGGAAAGCGCAGAGGAAAUAUAUGGUACUUUAGAGGAAGACUCAGAAGAAGAUUUAGAGGACGAAUACGAGAGCCCAGAGGAAGAUUACAUCUUAAAAAAAGAGGGUUUGAUUGAGCAUAGAGGAACAAAAGAAUUUAGUCUAAAAUACCAAAAAGAAGUAGAUCGGUUUUUUUUCAUUCUUCAAGAACUUCAUAUCUUGCCGAGAUCUUCAUCCCUAAAGAUACUUGACAAUAGUAUUAUUGGAGUGGAUACACAACAUUAUAAAUAA
rnacentral:rRNA from 1 species